UACGUAGGCAGCAAGCGUUGUUCGGAGUUAUUGGGCGUAAAGGGCGCGUAGGCGGUCACGCACGUCCGUUGUGAAAGCCCCCGGCUCAACUGGGGAGGGUCACGCGAUACUGGUCGACUCGAAGGCAGGAGAGGGUAGUGGAAUUCCCGGUGUAGUGGUGAAAUGCGUAGAUAUCGGGAGGAACACCAGUGGCGAAGGCGACUACCUGGCCUGUUCUUGACGCUGAGGCGCGAAAGCUAGGGGAGCAAACGGG
rnacentral:rRNA from 1 species